UACAGAGGUCUCAAGCGUUGUUCGGAUUCAUUGGGCGUAAAGGGUGCGUAGGCGGCGCGGUAAGUCGGGUGUGAAAUCUCGGAGCUUAACUCCGAAACUGCAUUCGAUACUGCCGUGCUUGAGGACUGGAGAGGAGACUGGAAUUUACGGUGUAGCGGUGAAAUGCGUAGAUAUCGUAAGGAAGACCGUGGCGAAGGCGGGUCUCUGGACAGUUCCUGACACUGGAGG
rnacentral:rRNA from 1 species